UACCAGCCGGGGAAGCAGCGGAGCCCUGUACCUGAAAUCCGCUACAGCAGGGGUUCAUUCCUUUUUUGAGGGCGGAGCUUCUACGGUCCUUGAGUCGUAUCCUGCUGCGUUGAAGAGCGGGUCUUGCGCAAUCGGAAGCUGUGAACCAUGUCAGGUGGGGAACCAAGCAGCAUUAAGCAGUUGCUCCGAUGUGCCGCGAGGCAGCCUGCUCCGAGCAGAAGGUACGAAGAUCGCGUAGGGGCAAUGUUCG
rnacentral:SRP_RNA from 1 species